CUCCAUCUAAAAAGAAAAAAAUAAUAAAAAUAAAAUAAAAUAAAAAGAAUCCAGAUGUUCUGGAUUAACCUGUCUGUAACCGAUACCUGCUGCUAGUCCGAGUGUAAAUACAAUACACUGGAACUAAAUUGUAUUAAAACCCAAUGAGAUUUAGAACAAAUCUAUUUUUUCUCUUUCUUGCAGGUGCUCAGGGAAGUAAGGAAGUUUUAUCUCUGGAAUUGUGGUUGAAAUGUGCUACAGAAAUUUCAGGGAUAAAGAAGAAAACCACUAGAGUUUCUCUGACCAUCAGCUCCCCAACGAAUGAAACCUCCAACAACAGAUCAAGUUACUCUAACUUAGUUCAACAACUGUAUAUUAAUCCCUAGAGGAUGCAGAGUCCCUGCAGCAGCCUGUCAGGAUCCACUUGUGUAGUACCCUCUGUGUUUACCAAGCAUCUUCAAGACAUCCCUACAACCAGAGGUCAGUUGGUCAUGUUUGAAUGCGGAAUCCAGGCCACAGCCACAGUUCAAGUUCACUGAGAAAUUAGGAAAAAAUGAUUCUCUUCGGUGAAAAAGGCCACCUCAGUAUUAGUGUGUUCAACAGUGGUUCAUAUUCAGAGAAGAUAUAGUCAUCUGGUCUAAUCUUCACAUUAGGGAUGAAGAAAGUCUGGGUAAGUAAAGUAAUUUUCACAAGGUCACAGAGCAAUUUAGUGAUAAAAGCAGAACUAAAAUCAAGUUCUUCUACCCUGCCACUUAUUCAUUCCUUUAUGCACCUUUUCUGAGUUUCUGAAGAAUUUACUUACCGUCUGUGACUCCAGAUUAGUCAAUUUUGUAUUUGUUUCCAGGUAUUUCUCAUAUACAUAUGGCCCCUUCUCCCAACUAAAUUAUCAUCACUUAAAUUCUCUCUCUUUUUUCUUGUUUUAUCUUUCAGAAGUUUAUCAUCCAUUCCUGGUAAGUAUAAUUUCUUAAAAUCUUGAAAAUUGAUUAAAUCAACAUUAGCAUCAGAAGACAUUGUCCCCUAAGUCACUCUUGCCUUCAUGAGCUCUUUUGAGGCUCCCCUACAUCAACUCUUGAACUGACACAACAGAAGAAGCAAGACAGCUGGGAUUUAUCAGUGUUUUUAUUCAUAUAUUUAUUCAUUCAACAUAGGUUUACUGAGUACAGACUAAUGGUUAGUCUCUGUUCUUGGUAUUAAGGAGACAGCAAUGAACCAGACUGACAAGGUCCCCACUCUCAAAGAAUAUGCAUUCUCCCUGUAAUCCCACUUGGUUUAGGAUUUGUGACUCGUGAACUUUAUACAGAAGCAAUAAGGAGAUGUCCUGACAUCGAACAUCCAAACUGCUCACUGUCCAAGAAGUAGUUGUGGUGACCAUCACACUGUGGCCAUCUCUGUAUUAACAUGAGGUCUAAGCGUGAUGGUAGUGAUAAUUUCUAGUUCAGUUCAGAAUAUGUUUCCAUAGGACUAAAGCUACAGAAAUCUAGAAAUCAAGGAAUAAAAUGUAAUCCCUGCUUUCAAGGAUUUCAUAGUCUAGUAGAGAAAACAAACAUGUCUAAGAGGCAGUUGAUAAGAACCAUGAUGGGACUGUUUAAGACUUUUUUUUAAUUUUAUUGAUAUAUAUUAGAGGUACAUAUUUUCAAGGUAUAUGUAAUAAUAUAUUCAUAUAAUGAAAUCAGGGUAAAUGAGAUAUGCAUCACCUAAAUUACUUUUCUUUACACUAGAAACAUUCAAAUUAUUCUCUUCUAGCUAUUUUGAAAUGUACAAUUAAU
rnacentral:lncRNA from 1 species